UCACUGGAGGACUAGUGUUUAGGCCACAGCACUCUCUCCACUGUGGCCCGGGUUCGAUUCCCAGCCAGAGAA
rnacentral:tRNA from 1 species